rnacentral:rRNA from 1 species
UACGUAGGGUGCAAGCGUUGUCCGGAAUUAUUGGGCGUAAAGAGCUCGUAGGCGGUCUGUCGCGUCUGCUGUGAAAACCUAGGGCUUAACUCUGGGCGUGCAGUGGGUACGGGCGGACUAGAGUUCGGUAGGGGAGACUGGAAUCCUGGUGUAGCGGUGAAAUGCGCAGGAUAUAGGAGGAACACCGGUGGCGAAGGCGGGUCUCUGGGCCGAAUACUGACGCUGGAGGAGCGAAAGCGUGGGGAGCGAACAGGA